rnacentral:tRNA from 1 species
GUCCCUAUCGUCUAGAGGCCUAGGACACCGGGUUUUCAUCCCGGCAACUCGGGUUCGAAUCCCGAUGGGGAUG